CGCGUGGGAAUAUACCCUUUGGUACGGAAUAGCCUCUGGAAACGGAGAGUAAUACCGUAUGAGCCCUUCGGGGGAAAGAUUUAUCGCCAAAGGAUUAGCCCGCGUUAGAUUAGGUAGUUGGUGGGGUAAUGGCCUACCAAGCCUACGAUCUAUAGCUGGUUUUAGAGGAUGAUCAGCAACACUGGGACUGAGACACGGCCCAGACUCCUACGGGAGGCAGCAGUGGGGAAUCUUGGACAAUGGGGGCAACCCUGAUCCAGCCAUGCCGCGUGAGUGAUGAAGGCCUUAGGGUCGUAAAGCUCUUUCGCCUGUGAAGAUAAUGACGGUAGCAGGUAAAGAAACCCCGGCUAACUCCGUGCCAGCAGCCGCGGUAAUACGGAGGGGGUUAGCGUUGUUCGGAAUUACUGGGCGUAAAGCGCACGUAGGCGGACUGGAAAGUUGGGGGUGAAAUCCCGGGGCUCAACCCCGGAACUGCCUCCAAAACUAUCAGUCUAGAGUUCGAGAGAGGUGAGUGGAAUUCCAAGUGUAGAGGUGAAAUUCGUAGAUAUUUGGAGGAACACCAGUGGCGAAGGCGGCUCACUGGCUCGAUACUGACGCUGA
rnacentral:rRNA from 1 species